UUCUUAUCAAGAGUAGGCGGAGGGACCAGCCCGAUGAAGCCCGGCAACCGGCGUGCGAACGCACGGUGCUAAUUCUUGCGGAUGCGCGUGCGGCAGCGGCGUGUCUGGGAGAUGAGAG
rnacentral:ncRNA from 2 species